AGCCUCGAUGUGGCCGUCAGGCACGGCUCCUUGUGGGCUGUCUCACCCUACCCCGUCCGGAUGGUGAUAUUUGUGCUUCUGACUUCAGAUUAGUAGCUUGACCUUGACUCCUGAGUUCUGAGAUCCCUUCACACAACUGCAAGUCCUUCUCACACAGAGAUUGAGUUUACCUAGUCGGCACCUUUGAGAGUUUUGGAACAAGAAGAAGAACCAGGACUGUCCACGACGUUCAGACCUGUUCCGCGAGCAAGAAACAGAAACGCUACAUGCAGAAGGUUGAAUUUGGGAUUCAGACUCCGACAGCUCUGAUGAUGUGAUGGAGACCUAUGAACUGGAGGAUGAAAGCAAUGCAGAAGCCUGAGCUUACUUAUCUGCAGACAAAAUUCAAUUUUCUCUCUUUUCCUCCUAUUGCUGCUGCCAUGACCGCAAUUUUCAUCGGUGCAUUAUUGUCCUCACCUUGAGAUCAGAGAGAAAUAGAAACUAAUUGCCUAAUAACCACUUUUGCUAAUGUAAAAUUUAUAAAAUACCAUUAAGGUUCACUUUACUUAGUGUUUUAUUAUAGUGAACAAACCAAUUAUCUGGGCUUUCGAUACUCCGUUCCCUGUCCCUAUUUUUUCGAAAGGUCAUAAAUUUCUCCAACACAAAUUCCUCUACUAUGAGGGUGUCAGGUACUCAACUGUAGCACCUGGGGACGGGGGCUACUCCACCUGAUUUGACAAUUUGAUUUUGCACUCUGGAUCCUGAAAUUAAAAUUUAUUUCUGAUUAAGCCUAAACUGCUAUCUUACCAUAAGGACCCAAGUCCUUCCUUUUUACCUAGUUGGUGUAACGUGAUUUGUUUUGCAGCAAUUGUGUAAGUUAGCUAUUGACCAGUCCCAGAAAGCAGCACACCUCAUGCCUUAAUGGAUUCCUGAGAUUACUUUGGUACCUAAUCAAGGAGGGGAAGCUGCUAGAGGUCAUUUCUUUAGAUAUUCCCUGUUCUCAUAUCUGGCCUUCCUAGUGAUUUGAACAGUUGAAUAUCUUCCAGUAAAGAGAUGUUGAUACUUUCUAUUCCUUAAAGGUGGUGUCUUCAUUCCUGGAUUUGGUCUUCUAAAUUCCCUCCAUAAUUCCAUAUAUUUGUUUUAUUGGACUUAACUGUGUUAUAAACAUUCAUGUUUUUGUUGUUUUAAUUUUGGAUGUUUGAACUUUUCUAGGCAGAAUUAACAGAGGAAAAAUAUCCCAAAACCAGAGCUAUGAAGCUGAUAUCUCAUUCUAAGAAUUCUUGGCAAAGACAUGACAAAUCUGCUUGUUCUUUUGGCUACCUGGACACAUUCCCAUCUGAUGUCCUUUUUGAACUCAGUUGGACAGUUAUUCUGGGAGUAAGAGACAGGAAAUUUGAAUAGCAUUGGUUUUCAGUAGCAACUGUAUUUGUUAAUACAAUUCUGUAUUAACUGCUAUUUGUGCCUGCAUUGGAGCACUGGCACCAUAAUCAUGCUGAAAAUUAUGUGCAAAAAAACUGAAUAGAUAAAGGAAGAAAGAGAAUUCACUGGCAUGUAUUUCCAAAAAGAGACCUUCUAUAGCUUGAGAAAACAUACAGAUAACCUGGAAUGUUACCAUUUACAUAUGGUAAUGAGAAAAUGCUGUCUUUAAACCACACUGUGUCCAAAAAUGACGCCAGGGAAUAACUUGAAUUUUAUCUUGUAGGAAGCAUGUAGGAAGCCCAUUCGAAUUGGGAUGUAGAAGGUGGGGGUGUGUGCAUGGGAUUUGGGAAUUGUUCUCCCCAGGCUGGAGUUCUGGAAGAUAGACUGCCCAUAUCUGAGUUUGAAGUGAUCAGGGGAAGAGGGGGUGGGGGAGAAAAGGUUAAAAGGUCUUGCUUGCCUAGUUCCAGUUGAGAUUACAUAUAUUUCUCCACAAGUUCAAAAGAGGCAGAUGAGGGUUGAAAACUACGGUAGGGUGCUGUGGAUCUAGUGACAUGCCACAGUGCCAGGCAAGCUUUCACUCUUUUCUUUGGGCCACAGUGGUCCUCAACAUUGGUGGUACAUCCUAGUAAUUAUGGGGAGCUUUUUAAAACUCCUAAACCUGCUGAAUUGAGGAUGAGGGACCAGUUUCUGUAUAUUUUGGAAGCUCCUCAAGUGAUUCUUUUUACAGCUAGGAUUGCAAACCACUGCUCUAUGGUUAGAUAAUGCAAAUGAGAAUGGGUCCAGGAGCUAGGAAACCUUGAUUUCAAGUCUCUGCUCUCUCAUGCAUAAAAUGGAUGGUCCUGUUUAUCUGUCAAAAGAGAGGAUAAGACCAAUUGGUCUCUAAGGCCCUUCUAUCUUUGACACUGUUACCUUGGGACAAAGGUGCAGCAAUCUCAUUGGUUGGCUUUGAGAAUAUUUAACUCCUUUCAUAGAGACCAAAGGUAAGUAGUAUUAGUAUUGUGUUCUUGUUAUUUUAAAAAUCGUGCUUGUGGUUUAAGCUUUACUAUGUUUUAGUCCCUUGUGGAAAAGAAAGUUAGGCAUAGGUGCUGUACAAAAAAGGGGAAAUGUAGCAUCCACUUUCUGAAAGGAAAACUAGAAAGGAACUCCUGUGAGUGCCUUUUUCUCUGAUAACUGCGAUUUUUCUUCUGGGUUCCAGGGUUUGGGGAAAAUAAUAAUGCACAUGUAUUGGGUAUAAAACACAUUAACAUUUUGCAUCUUUUGUUUCUAUAAACCAAAGCAAGAACUCUGUAUGCUUAAUGUUUCAAGGGUCCAUAACAAUUUGCUUAUUCCUAAUAAUGCCAGAAACAAAAUAUCUUUAAUUCAGUAUUCUUUUUACCAGUGUUGUCAGUGGUUCUCUGUAUCUUUGAAGAAACGAACUUUCCUGAUCAUUUUACCAUUCACUGAGAUCCCUGCCUUAGCAAUUUUUGUUGUCAUACUUUGAUAAGAAUAAGAGAAAUAAAAAUUUUUAAUUGAUCGGACUUUAACUAGGAGCUCAUAAUAUAAAACAAUAAAAUGGGACACUGACUACUGUAUGAUUUUAGUUGUCAUAGGAAUGGUUAGACUUUGGGCUGAUAAGUGGAAACAUUUAUUUGUCUAGGGCCCAGGUCAUUUGAAAUAAAUUAUUGGAAGAGAUCUAAUUCUUGUUUAAGGCAAUAACCACUUAAAAUAAUCUAAGUGUCAUUAACGAGGGUAAAAGGACAUUUUAACAUAAUUUAGUUUAACAAGUCAGCACAGCUUAGAGGACGUUGUAAAAGUUUGGCAUAGCAUAAAUGGUAGAAAUUGAAUUUAACGAGAACACUGCCAUGUAAAUGGGUGCUUUUUAUGUUCUUUGAUAAGUUAAAAAUGGUCCCCCAAACUGAAAAGCUGAAAUUUCUUUUAGUAUAUUUUAUGUGUCGUUUGAGUGGAAGGUAUCUUUCUGUUGUCAAAUGGUUCGGGUAAAUUCUUAUGCUCAGUAUUAUGAAGUGCCUGGAAACUUCCUUCUUCAAAGGCAUAUUUAACUACUGUGUAAAAAGAAAACAAAGAGAAAAGGGUGGGGCGGGGAGAAAGGGCAGCCCAGGCUGCUGGAAUUUGGAGAAAAUAUUAGAAAACCGGCAUUACAUUGAAAAAGAAUUUCAUGUUUGUUUAAAAUCUUUUAAGUUCAAAAUGCAGAGAAGUCUCUUUAAACUUCACAUCAGGAUUACAUAGCUUUUGCCACCUGAAUGCUAAUAAAGGGUUUUUCAGUGUGUAGGGUCUAAAAGCUUGUGUGAACAAUGCUUGUGCUGUGAAAUGCAUUGAUCACUGAACAUUACAUAGUCUUACCUUUUAACAGCCUUUGAUGUCAGUGUGUUCUGGUUGUUUAUCUAAGAAUUCAGAAAUAAAUACGAUGUGCUGUGAAUGGAAUGCAUAUGUUCUUGGAGAUCAUAAAGUGAAAUAGAAGAGAGACAAAAGAAAGGAUACAUUUUGUUAGUCGGAAUAACAAAUAUUGAGAAAUUAAAUAUAAAUCUAGUGUGUUGGAGAGGUUGCACGUCAUCUUUCUUGCAUUGCUACAUAAAGCCAAAGAUAAAAUUCACCAAUCAUUGCAAACACCUAGAGUUGGCUCUUGAGGAAUGGCAGUGGGGCAAUAAGUGCCGGAAUGAGAACAGGGACUUAGAGUGAGGGCUUUGCCACCGACUUCUCAUCUGCCCUGGGCUGGGGAUUCCUUCUGUUUGGGUGAGUGGUGCUUUGUCCUGGCGGUAUGACCUUUGUGCUUACUGGGGUGUGAGGAAUCAGCCCCGAGCCCAGGCUUUGGAGGACCUGCUUUCAAAUCCUGUC